rnacentral:rRNA from 1 species
AACGAACGCUGGCGGCGUGGAUAAGACAUGCAAGUCAAACGAGAGAAUUGCUAGCUUGCUAAUAAUUCUCUAGUGGCGCACGGGUGAGUAACACGUGAGUAACCUGCCCCCGAGAGCGGGAUAGCCCUGGGAAACUGGGAUUAAUACCGCAUAGUAUCGAAAGAUUAAAGCAGCAAUGCGCUUGGGGAUGGGCUCGCGGCCUAUUAGUUAGUUGGUGAGGUAACGGCUCACCAAGGCGAUGACGGGUAGCCGGUCUGAGAGGAUGUCCGGCCACACUGGAACUGAGACACGGUCCAGACACCUACGGGUGGCAGCAGUCGAGAAUCAUUCACAAUGGGGGAAACCCUGAUGGUGCGACGCCGCGUGGGGGAAUGAAGGUCUUCGGAUUGUAAACCCCUGUCAUGUGGGAGCAAAUUAAAAAGAUAGUACCACAAGAGGAAGAGACGGCUAACUCUGUGCCAGCAGCCGCGGUAAUACAGAGGUCUCAAGCGUUGUUCGGAAUCACUGGGCGUAAAGCGUGCGUAGGCUGUUUCGUAAGUCGUGUGUGAAAGGCGCGGGCUCAACCCGCGGACGGCACAUGAUACUGCGAGACUAGAGUAAUGGAGGGGGAACCGGAAUUCUCGGUGUAGCAGUGAAAUGCGUAGAUAUCGAGAGGAACACUCGUGGCGAAGGCGGGUUCCUGGACAUUAACUGACGCUGAGGCACGAAGGCCAGGGGAGCGAAAGAAAUUAGAUACCCCUGUAGUCCUGGCAGUAAACGGUGCACGCUUGGUGUGCGGGGAAUCGACCCCCUGCGUGCCGGAGCUAACGCGUUAAGCGUGCCGCCUGGGGAGUACGGUCGCAAGAUUAAAACUCAAAGAAAUUGACGGGGACCCGCACAAGCGGUGGAGUAUGUGGCUUAAUUCGAUGCAACGCGAAGAACCUUACCUGGGCUUGACAUGUAAUGAACAACAUGUGAAAGCAUGCGACUCUUCGGAGGCGUUACACAGGUGCUGCAUGGCCGUCGUCAGCUCGUGUCGUGAGAUGUUUGGUUAAGUCCAGCAACGAGCGCAACCCCUGUUGCCAGUUACCAGCACGUGAAGGUGGGGACUCUGGCGAGACUGACCAGAUCAACUGGGAGGAAGGUGGGGACGACGUCAGGUCAGUAUGGCCCUUAUGCCCAGGGCUGCACACGUACUACAAUGCCCAGUACAGAGGGGGCCGAAGCCGCGAGGCGGAGGAAAUCCUGAAAACUGGGCCCAGUUCGGACUGUAGGCUGCAACCCGCCUACACGAAGCCGGAAUCGCUAGUAAUGGCGCAUCAGCUACGGCGCCGUGAAUACGUUCCCGGGUCUUGCACU